AACGAACGCUGGCGGCAGGCCUAACACAUGCAAGUCGAACGUGAAGCCAUCUUCGGGUGGCGGAAAGUGGCAGACGGGUGAGUAACGAGUGGGAACGUGCCCUUCGGUUCGGGAUAACUCAGGGAAACUUGGGCUAAUACCGGAUACGCCCUUCGGGGGAAAGAUUCAUUGCCGAAGGAUCGGCCCGCGUCGGAUUAGCUAGUUGGUAGGGUAAUGGCCUACCAAGGCGACGAUCCGUAGCUGGUCUGAGAGGAGGAACAGCCACACUGGGACUGAGACACGGCCCAGACUCCUACGGGAGGCAGCAGUGGGGAAUAUUGGACAAUGGGCGCAAGCCUGAUCCAGCCAUGCCGCGUGGGUGAAGAAGGCCUUAGGGUUGUAAACCCCUUUCAGCGGGGAAGAUAAUGACGGUACCCGCAGAAGAAGUCCCGGCUAACACCGUGCCAGCCGCCGCAGUAAAAC
rnacentral:rRNA from 1 species